rnacentral:rRNA from 1 species
CUGAGUAGCGUGUUCAAGACCCGAAGCGGAGUGAUCUAGCCAUGGGCAGGGUGAAGCGGAGGUAAGACUUCGUGGAGGCCCGAACCCACCAGGGUUGAAAACCUGGGGGAUGACCUGUGGUUAGGGGUGAAAGGCCAAUCAAACUCCGUGAUAGCUGGUUCUCCCCGAAAUGCAUUUAGGUGCAGCGUCGUGUGUUUCUUGCCGGAGGUAGAGCACUGGAUAGGCGAUGGGCCCUACCGGGUUACUGACCUUAGCCAAACUCCGAAUGCCGGUAAGUGAGAGCGCGGCAGUGAGACUGUGGGGGAUAAGCUCCAUGGUCGAGAGGGAAACAGCCCAGAGCAUCGACUAAGGCCCCUAAGCGUGUGCUAAGUGGGAAAGGAUGUGGAGUCGCAGAGACAACCAGGAGGUUGGCUUAGAAGCAGCCAUCCUUGAAAGAGUGCGUAAUAGCUCACUGGUCAAGUGAUUCCGCGCCGACAAUGUAGCGGGGCUCAAGCACACCGCCGAAGUCGUGUCACUCACACAACAGGUCCAACGACCGUGUGGGUGGGUAGGGGAGCGUCGUGUGCCGGGUGAAGCAGCCGUGGAAGCGAGUUGUGGACGGUAUGCGAGUGAGAAUGCAGGCAUGAGUAGCGAUACGUACGUGAGAAACGUGCGCGCCGAUUGACUAAGGGUUCCUGGGUCAAGCUGAUCUGCCCAGGGUAAGUCGGGACCUAAGGCGAGGCCGACAGGCGUAGUCGAUGGAUAACCGGUUGAUAUUCCGGUACCCGCUGUGAAGCGACCCACAUCGAAUCCAGUGAUGCUAAGCCCGUGAAGCCGCCGGCGGAUUCUUCGGAUGAAGUCGGAGUGGUGGAGCCGGUGGCCCGAGCUGGUAGUAGGUGAGUGAUGGGGUGACGCAGGAAGGUAGUCCAUCCCGGGCGGUGGUUGUCCCGGGGUAAGGGUGUAGGACGUCAGGUAGGUAAAUCCGCCUGGCAUGUGUCUGAGACCUGAUGCCGAGCCGAUUGUGGUGAAGUGGAUGAUCCUAUGCUGUCGAGAAAAGCCUCUAGCGAUGUUUCAUGGCGGCCCGUACCCUAAACCGACUCAGGUGGUCUGGUAGAGAAUACCGAGGCGUUCGGGUGAACUAUGGUUAAGGAACUCGGCAAAAUGCCCCCGUAACUUCGGGAGAAGGGGGGCCACGCCUGGUGAUGGGAUUUACUCCUUGAGCUGGGGGUGGCCGCAGAGACCAGCGAGAAGCGACUGUUUACUAAAAACACAGGUCCGUGCGAAGCCGUAAGGCGAUGUAUACGGACUGACGCCUGCCCGGUGCUGGAACGUUAAGGGGACCGGUUAGUCAUUCUUCGGGAUGGCGAAGCUGAGAACUUAAGCGCCAGUAAACGGCGGUGGUAACUAUAACCAUCCUAAGGUAGCGAAAUUCCUUGUCGGGUAAGUUCCGACCUGCACGAAUGGCGUAACGACUUCUUGACUGUCUCAACCAUAGGCCCGGUGAAAUUGCACUACGAGUAAAGAUGCUCGUUUCGCGCAGCAGGACGGAAAGACCCCGGGACCUUUACUAUAGCUUGAUAUUGGUGUUCGGUUCGGCUUGUGUAGGAUAGGUGGGAGACUGUGAUACUCAAGCGCCAGCUUGGGUGGAGUCGUUGUUGAAAUACCACUCUGGUCGUGCUGGAUGUCUAACCUGGGUCCGUGAUCCGGAUCAGGGACAGUGUCUGGUGGGUAGUUUAACUGGGGCGGUUGCCUCCUAAAGAGUAACGGAGGCGCCCAAAGGUUCCCUCAGCCUGGUUGGUCAUCAGGUGGUGAGUGUAAGUGCACAAGGGAGCUUGACUGUGAGACUGACGGGUCGAGCAGGGACGAAAGUCGGGACUAGUGAUCCGGCGGUGGCUUGUGGAAGCGCCGUCGCUCAACGGAUAAAAGGUACCCCGGGGAUAACAGGCUGAUCUUCCCCAAGAGUCCAUAUCGACGGGAUGGUUUGGCACCUCGAUGUCGGCUCGUCGCAUCCUGGGGCUGGAGUCGGUCCCAAGGGUUGGGCUGUUCGCCCAUUAAAGCGGUACGCGAGCUGGGUUUAGAACGUCGUGAGACAGUUCGGUCCCUAUCCGCUGUGCGCGUAGGAGUCUUGAGAAGGGCUGUCCCUAGUACGAGAGGACCGGGACGGACGGACCUCUGGUGUGCCAGUUGUUCUGCCAAGGGCAUGGCUGGUUGGCUACGUUCGGGAGGGAUAACCGCUGAAAGCAUCUAAGCGGGAAGCCUGCUUCGAGAUGAGGACUCCCACCCCCGUUGAGGGGUUAAGGCUCCCGGUAGACGACCGGGUUGAUAGGCCGGAUCUGGAAGCCCAGUAAUGGGUGGAGGUGACCGGUACUAAUAGGCCGAGGGCUUGUCCAU